UUAUGUUGGUGCAGAAGUAAUUGUAGUUUUUGCCAUUGAAAGUAAUGGCAAAAAUCACAAUUGCUUUGGCACCAACCUAAUA
rnacentral:miRNA from 1 species